CUGGGCGUAAAGCGUGCGCAGGCGGUUGUGCAAGACAGAUGUGAAAUCCCCGGGCUUAACCUGGGAAUUGCAUUUGUGACUGCACGGCUAGAGUGUGUCAGAGGGGGGUAGAAUUCCACGUGUAGCAGUGAAAUGCGUAGAUAUGUGGAGGAAUACCGAUGGCGAAGGCAGCCCCCUGGGAUAACACUGACGCUCAUGCACGAAAGCGUGGGGAGCAAACAGG
rnacentral:rRNA from 1 species